rfam:Triticum urartu cultivar G1812 contig811368, whole genome shotgun sequence.
ACGGUUAUCAUUUAAUGGUAGGAUCGCUGACUUCCAAUCAGCUCGUGUUGGUUCGAAUCCGACUAGCCGUA